rnacentral:rRNA from 1 species
CAGCCGCCGCGGUAAUACGUAGGUGGCGAGCGUUAUCCGGAAUUAUUGGGCGUAAAGGGCCCGCAAGCGGCACAUUAAGUCAGAUGUGAAAUCUCCCGGCUCAACUGGGAGGGGACAUUUGAAACUGGUGAACUUGAGGACAGCAGGGGGAAUCGGAACUCCCGGUGUAGCGGUGAUAUGCGUAGAUAUCGGGAGGAACACCAGUGGCGAAGGCGGCUUUCUGGGCUGUUUCUGACGCUGAGGGGCGAAAGCGUGGGGAGCAAACCGGAUUAGAUACCCUGGUAGUCCACACCGUAAACGAUGGAUACUAGGUAUGGGGGGUAUCGACCCCUUCCGUGCCGAAGCUAACGCCAUAAGUAUCCCGCCUGGGGACUACGGCCGCAAGGCUAAAACUCAAAGGAAUUGACGGGGGCCCGCACAAGCAGCGGAGCGUGUGGUUUAAUUCGACGAUACGCGAAGAACCUUACCAAGACUUGACAUCGUAAUGCAUAGCAUGAGAAACCAGGUGUCCCUUCGGGGCGUUAUGACAGAUGCUGCAUGGCUGUCGUCAGCUCGUGCCGUGAGGUGUUGGGUUAAGUCCCGCAACGAGCGCAACCCUUGUCGCUAGUUAAUUUCUCUAGCGAGACUGCCCCGCUAAACGGGGAGGAAGGUGGGGAUGACGUCAAGUCAGCACGGCUCUUACGUCUUGGGCUACACACACGCUACAAUGGGUGGUACAGAGGGUUGCGAAGGAGCGAUGUGGAGCUAAUCCCACAAAGCCAUCCUCAGUUCGGAUUGCAGGCUGCAACUCGCCUGCAUGAAGUCGGAGUUGCUAGUAAACGCAGGUCAGCAAUACUGCGUUGAAUACGUUCUCGGGCCUUGUACACACCGCCCGUCACGUCAUGAAAGUUGGAAACACCUGAAGUCGAUGGGCUAACCCGUAAGGGAGGCAGUCGCCCAAGGUGGGGCUAGCGAUUGGGAUGAAGUCGUAACAAGGUAACCGUA